rnacentral:rRNA from 1 species
GAUGAACGCUGGCGGCGUGCCUAAUACAUGCAAGUCGAGCGAACAGACGAGGAGCUUGCUCCUCUGACGUUAGCGGCGGACGGGUGAGUAACACGUGGAUAACCUACCUAUAAGACUGGGAUAACUUCGGGAAACCGGAGCUAGUACCGGAUAAUAUAUUGAACCGCAUGGUUCAAUAGUGAAAGACGGUUUUGCUGUCACUUAUAGAUGGAUCCGCGCCGCAUUAGCUAGUUGGUAAGGUAACGGCUUACCAAGGCAACGAUGCGUAGCCGACCUGAGAGGGUGAUCGGCCACACUGGAACUGGGACACGGUCCAGACUCCUACGGGAGGCAGCAGUAGGGAAUCUUCCGCAAUGGGCGAAAGCCUGACGGAGCAACGCCGCGUGAGUGAUGAAGGUCUUCGGAUCGUAAAACUCUGUUAUUAGGGAAGAACAAAUGUGUAAGUAACUAUGCACGUCUUGACGGUACCUAAUCAGAAAGCCACGGCUAACUACGUG